GUUACCUCGCGCCUUUUGUUAGGGAUAGGCUUCGUAUCAUUCCGUACAAUCUUUGUUUUAAUUUCUCUUUUUGUAUAUAUCGCAUUCCGGAAAGAAAUCCCCCAAAAAAAGAACCUCUCAAUUCCCUGAUAAAUUUCUCUUUCCGUUUAGCGAACCGAGUUUUAUGUUUUCACUUGCCGCUUCAACUCGACUAUGGCCAUCCGAUUCAGAUUCAGGAGCUCAGUGAACUACGACUCGGUCGUUAUCGAGGGCCAACCUUCAAUUUCAGUUCGCGAUCUCAAAGCUAAAAUCGUCCGUAGCAAGAAUCUAAAUAUUUGCCAAGAUUUUGAUCUUGUUUUUUCCGAUGCCGAAACUGGUCAAGAAUAUUAUGAUGAAAAUAUUCAACUUCCAAGUGGUUCAAGUGUGAUUAUCAAGAGGGUUCCUGCUGGAUCAAUGCGUGCAGAUAAGGGGCAUGUUGAAUCUUUUGAGAAUGUCGGGAUUAAAGACACAAAUGUGUUUAGGACCUCUGCUCAAGCGAAUGUGGAAGUGGAUAACUUUGAUGAUUUCGGGGCUGAAUUGUGUCCAAUUCCUGAGGCAACCAUAUCUGGUUCUGAUUUUGAUGUGGAUAAGCAAUUUCUCUGUACCAAUGAUGAGACACCAAGGUUUUUUGAGAUUCCUAGGGUUGGAUGUCAGAAACUUGAUGCAAGUGAACUGAUUGAAUCUAUUCCAACAAGACCUUCCAAUAUUGGUGACAGCGAGGAUGCAUCUCAGAUAAAAUCAAAGCCUAGUGUUGAUGCAUUAACAAAACCAAAGAAGGUGGUUACUGCCAAUCCUCAAUCCAUGCAAAAUGUUGAUUUGCCAGCCGAGCUGAAAUGCUAUCUUUGUGGCACUUUUUUCAAGGAGGCUGUGAUGAUUCCUUGCUGUCAGCAUAGUUUUUGUGAGAAAUGCAUUCAGCUAGUGCUUGUUGAGAAGAGAAGCUGUCCCAAGUGCUUAUCUACCAAAUAUACAGUGAAAGAUUUGCUACCAAAUGUUUCUCUUAGACAGGCAAUUGAACGUUUCCUUGAAUCUCAAAUUUUGAUCAAAAGUUCAGACAAUGCCUUUGGGUAUGCUCCAGAUGGAGAAUCUGGAAUUCAAGUGAAAGAACUGUCAUGUGCUGUGAGUGUUCACCAAAGAGAAGCAGUGUUGCCUCAUUCUCCCUGUGCUACAAGGAGGGGUUCCAAUCAAAUUAUGGGAAAAUCAGUUAGUGGCAAAUCAUCGCUUUGUCAUAAGCUAAAACAAUUAGAUGCAGAAAAGCAUGGCUCUAGACAUCCGGUGGAUUUGGAAAGAGGAGCUGAGGACUUGGUUUCUGAGUUUCAAGGGGAGAACCAGCCCCUGCACGAGGAAGCUGAGUCUACCAUCAAGAAGAAGAGAGGAUCAUGUGUCAACACUGCAGGUGUAGACAGAAGCUUUAUGGAGACAGGAAGGCACAGAAAGGGGGACCGAACAUGUUACAUGUGUGGAUCUCCAGAUCAUUUUAUAAGAGACUGCCCAGCUGCUUCAAGUCCACAUCCUAUGCUUCAGACAGGAAAUGCCAUGUUUCCAGGAGCUAUGACAGGUUAUUUAUCACCUUACUGGAAUGGUCCCUUUCCUCAAAUCAGGCCCCUUUUAAGCCCAUAUGGCAAUCCCUUUGCAACCAUUGUUCCACCCACAACUUUUCCUGUUCCUUCUUAUAUGCCAUCUAUGUUUGGUGGCAUGGCUCCCUAUGGUGGUUUUACUAAAAGAGUGGGGCGUUUGGCAUGCCCAGUAGGGCCCAAUGCAGAGUGGCAUGUAGACCGUUCAGAUUGUUGGGAGCUUCAAGGUGAUGAGAAGAGACGGAAGGUUUCACAUAAUAAUUUGGGAAGGGGACAAUCUUUUGAUGAUGAUGAAGAAGAUGAUAGGUUUAACAAGAGACGUAAAGAACCAGAAAGAUCACAUGAUCUCAGAUCUUAUCAAGACAGGGAAGACGGUGCGAGUGUCUCUAAGGACAGCUUUACUGAAAGGCCAAAUUGGAAACAUCGGCAUUAUGCUAAUUUUGAUGAUGAACUGGAAAGGUCAAGUUCAGAAGUAGAAGAUAUGCCAAGUAGCUCCAACAGGCACGGUGAAGAGCGGCGUAAGUGCCGCCAUAGGAACUCCAAGAAGCAUGAUGGUGGAAUGGUGCACAUUAGUGCUGAUUCUAGUCAUAGUCGUAGUCACGGUCAACGUCAACAUCAAAGUAGUAAAACAAAAGAUGUUAAAAGAAAGAGAGUUGGUUCUGAAGGCAAAAGAGACAAGCAGAAACAUCAUAGCCAAUCAGAAUCUGGUUUGCAGCAAAGCUUAUCCAGUGAUCAUAAAGCACAAUGGAAAGAGAGAGAUUCCAGUCAUGGAUCAAGACAUUCUAGGCAUAAUUCAAGGUCUAUGAAUAAUGAGCUGAGUCGUGAAAGGUGGCAGAUGGUCAGUGGGUCAGAUGAGGAUGGUGACGAAGACGAUCAUUACUAUAAACGAAAAAGACAUCACUGAAAUUAUCAAGAGGACUCAAUUUGAGGCAAAUGUGUAUAAGAAGUUGCAUAUCUCAGCUUAGGCGAUCCUUCUGAAUUACAGAUACUAGUUGACUUGAGUGGUCCGCUUUUGGAAGUAGCUUCAUGGAUAUCUUUUAUUUAAUAUCUGCUGCUUACUAACCCUCUUCAUUUUUUUAGCUUGAUCUUUGGAGGCUUGCAAACAAAAGUUUACCCAGAGGAGCUUUUGUUAAUUUAAUUUAGGGUUUGCUUGCUUUAAGGUGUGCUCAAACGUUUUGUGGAGGUUAUUGAAGCUGGUGAAGGUACGUUUCUAUUCCCACACAACCUAAUAUAUAAAAAAUAAAAAUAAGAAGGGAUGAAAUGAUGAAAGAGAAGUUCUUCAUGACAAUUAUUUAUUUUCCUACUACUUGAAAUGUCCCUUCCCUCUUCUUCUUGGUUCGUAAUUACGUAUCAGGCCUCUUGUUGUCUGGGGUUCUUAAGUAGUAGUAGCAUUCACCCUCUUAAGGUGAAUGGCGGCCUUGGUCACAUUUGCUUAUUUUGAACUUUGAUGAUUAAAGGUCAAUCGGUUGCCUAUUUUCCUUUCUUUAGGUUAGCAUCCUUGCAUAAUUGCUUACGGACCAACCCCCUGCCUCCCAAACCAAACAGGAAAUUUACAAAAUGCUCCGUAAAGAGUUUUCUCUUAUGAAGCUUUUCUGCUGAUAUGUGUUCUACUGUUCCUUGUUUUCUUUGAUGUGUCAAACCACAACCCCCCCACCCCCCAACAAACAACACACGCACGCAUACCCAAAAGAAAAAAAAUAAUUAAAAAAAACUGAAACAUGAGAAAUGCUAUAAAUUAUGUAAAGUUGCUGCUUUUCUAAUAGAUGCUUUAAAUACCCAGCCAAAUUUUAUCAAUUUUAUUGGCAGACAUUAUUAUUUUGUUAAACUUAUUUUAAAUGUUGCUCUAGUAAUUUUAUUUUAAAAAAAAAAAAAAACUGAUUAACAUUCCUUAUUACUUUGAAAUGACGGAUUUAAUCUCAACCAUGGUUGUCUAAUUAAUUUUAUAUGAACAGAUGGUGACUACGGCCAUGUUUGGAUUGAGGAAAUUUAAAAUUUAUAUAGUUUGACAAAAUAAAUGGAAUUAAAAACUAUGAAUGUUUAAUUUCAUGGAUUUAUGCAAUUUCCUUUGGUACAGAGGAGCAUUUUUGUAAUAAAAGAAUUAGUUGGAAUCCACAUUUAUCUACCUGAGGUGAAUGAGCUAUUUUCAACGAUUUUAUGGAUUUUGACUGUGAAAUCGACUGUUGUUUAAAUUCCCUCAAUCCAAAUGGUACAUGGAUUUGAAGUCAAAAAUGGGGUGAUGUACAGGAUCUGCGUAAUUGAGUGAUUGUUAUAUUUUGUAGCAGCUUUGCUGGUGAGAUGAUUUUCGAACUCAUGUUUCCAGGGUGAAAGUUUCGAGGGCAUAGAGAGGCCGUCAAUAAAUUGGAAUGAGGUAGAAUAUAGGUGUAUCCAUAAUUGAGAAGAGUUGGGGUGCUUUUAUGCACGUCCUUUUUUUUUUUUUGAAAAAAAAAUCAUUAUAUGAAUUAUUAAAAGAAGUUUGAAAAAAAUUAUUUUAUUAUUUUAAUAUUUUUAUAAUUAAAAUUUGUUAAAUUUAAUAUUAAACUAAUUUUUAAUAAUUUAUAGUUGAUAUAUUCUAAAAUAUAUAUAUAUUUACUGUUGCUUCAUCAUUAAUAUCAAACGGACUCUUACCGUGGGAGGGGAACAGAGAUGUCCAAUUGUGGCUGGGUUGGUAUUGAAAUCGAAUCAUAUGUGUGGUAUAAUUUUGGUUUUAAUUGAUGUUUGGUACUUUAGUUUUUGGUUUUGUUUGAUUUUUAAUAUUUUGAUUUAGUUUGGUCUGAUUAGAUUUCAACUUUUGAAAUAAUUUUGUCAUUAUUGUCAUAGAAAAUCGUAUUUAAAUUAUCAUUUAGGUUUUAAAAUUGUUAGUACAUAAGACACAGUAUAAUAUAUUUUUUAAUUAUUAUAAUUAUAAUAUAUAUAAAAAUAUAUGUAUGCUUUCAUUUUAAUUAUAUGUAAAUAUAUAUAAUUACACUAAAAAUAUAAUAUAUGUAACAACUAUAGAAAAAUUUAUGUAUAAAAUGACUAUUCAGUUAUUUUUAGUGAAAAACUAAAACAAAAAAAAUGAUUUGAUAUAAUUUUGAUCAAUUUAAUAUAAUUUGUGAUAUUCACACGAUGUUAUCGUUUGGAUCUCUCAAACAAAGGGCCCAAAUAUGCCUUCGACUUUGGUGCUGUAGGGUUUGCUACACUUCCCUUGGGCUUGAAGCGUGAUAGUGCUUGCGGGCCGCUUGGUGUCUUAUGAGUGAGUUCCUUGGAGAUGGAAUGGCUCCUAAAAUUGGUCUCAUUCAAGAAGUUAAAAUGACAUUAAUUUUGAAAAUAUCGUCGCCAUGCAAGGCAACGGCAUAUGUAAUCAAAGUUUUAAAUAGUGAAAAUGAAGGAAAAAGAAUAAACAUAUUUCUUUUGGAAAAAAUAUAAAAUUGAAAUAUUGUGGGUGAACAGUGGCAAUCCCUAAAAGUUGCAGGUUAAAUGCAAUAUUAGUAUAAAGAAAAAGAUAAAUUACUCUAUCGGUUGAGGACAAUAGAUAAUACGAAGGACAGGAGUAGCCAUCCCAGCAAGAAAUACCCCACCAGCCUCGUGGGUUCCACAUCUUCUGGUUCCUGCCAUAAGAGUCCAUUUGGAUCAUCAUAUCACUAGUCCAACUCCAUCACAAACACGGUUUAAAAAGUGACUCGAAUUAUGAAGGUCAAUUUCUGAUUAAAUAAACAAUGUUGAGAUGAAGAGAGUUCGUGUUUUAAUAAUAAUUUAAGUUUUUCUCUCAAUUAACUCGUAAUUUUCUAUUUAAUUUUAAAUAGUGAUUUUUAUCAAAAAUUAAAAUAAUAAUUUUAAAUUUUUAAUAAUAAAUAUUAACAUAUUUUUAUUAAAAAUUGAAUCUAUUUGAACUUCAAAAAAAAUUAUGAAUUAAUUAUAUUAAAAUUUUUAAAAUAAAUUUAAUUACACUUAAAUUAAAAGGUUAGAUGUACAAUUGAACUUUUUUCUCAAUUUUUUAUCACGAGACAUUUAGAAGAUAUUAAAACAAAGGAGGAGCAAACCUGUGGAGGCGGCGGCUGUGUUGGUGGCGUUAACGUGUCUGUUUCAAAAGGCCAUGUAUAUCUCUCUGGUUUUUCACUUCUGGCCAAGCUCCAAUCAUACAUUCUCCUCUCUUCUUCCGAUGAUAAUAUUGAAUACGAUUCCUAUAACAGCAAAGAAUGAAAAAAGAAACGGGCAAUCUCUUUUACCAAAGAAGAAAAGAAAAGAAAAGAAAAGAAAA